rnacentral:rRNA from 1 species
GCAUAUCAAUAAGCGGAGGAAAAGAAACUAACCAGGAUUCCCCUAGUAACGGCGAGUGAAGCGGGAAAAGCUCAAAUUUGUAAUCUGGCGCCUUGGGCGUCCGAGUUGUAAUCUCGAGAAGUAUUUUCCGCGCUGGACCGCACAUAAGUCUGUUGGAAUACAGCGUCAUAGUGGUGAGAACCCCGUAUAGGGUGCGGAUGCCCAGUGCUUUGUGAUAUACUUUCGAAGAGUCGAGUUGUUUGGGAAUGCAGCUCAAAUUGGGUGGUAAAUUCCAUCUAAAGCUAAAUAUUGGCGAGAGACCGAUAGCGAACAAGUACCGUGAGGGAAAGAUGAAAAGCACUUUGGAAAGAGAGUUAACAGUACGUGAAAUUGUUGGAAGGGAAACGCUUGAAGUCAGACUUGCAUUUUGGAGUUCAGCCGCAAGGUGUAUUCUUCAAUUCGCAGGCCAGCAUCAGUUUUUGGGGGUGGAAAAGCGUGGUUUGAAGGUAGCAGUCUCGGCUGUGUUAUAGCUUUCCACUGGAUUCACUUUUGGGGACUGAGGAACGCAGUACGCUUUUUGCAAGAUUCUCGGAUCUUUCGUACUUAGGAUGCUGGUGGAAUGGCUUUAAACGACCCGUCU